rnacentral:rRNA from 1 species
GCGAACGCUGGCGGCAGGCCUAACACAUGCAAGUCGAACGGACCUUUCGGGGUUAGUGGCGGACGGGUGAGUAACACGUGGGAACGUGCCUUUAGGUUCGGAAUAGCUCCUGGAAACGGGUGGUAAUGCCGAAUGUGCCCUUCGGGGGAAAGAUUUAUCGCCUUUAGAGCGGCCCGCGUCUGAUUAGCUAGUUGGUUGAGGUAACGGCUCACCAAGGCGACGAUCAGUAGCUGGUCUGAGAGGAUGGCCAGCCACAUUGGGACUGAGACACGGCCCAAACUCCUACGGGAGGCAGCAGUGGGGAAUCUUGCGCAAUGGGCGAAAGCCUGACGCAGCCAUGCCGCGUGAAUGAUGAAGGUCUUAGGAUUGUAAAAUUCUUUCACCGGGGACGAUAAUGACGGUACCCGGAGAAGAAGCCCCGGCUAACUUCGUG